rnacentral:rRNA from 1 species
UACGAAGGGGGCUAGCGUUGCUCGGAAUGACUGGGCGUAAAGGGCGCGUAGGCGGUUUGCACAGUCAGGCGUGAAAUUCCUGGGCUUAACCUGGGGGCUGCGCUUGAUACGUGUGGACUGGAGUGCGGAAGAGGGUCGUGGAAUUCCCAGUGUAGAGGUGAAAUUCGUAGAUAUCGGGAGGAACACCAGUGGCGAAGGCGGCUUCCUGGACCGGUUCUGACACUGAGGAGCGAAAGCGUGGGGAGCGAGCCGG